AUGUGUGUGUGUGUUGAGAGAAGAAGAGAGGAACCCCAGGAGAGUUGUGCGAUGCAGCUCGGGGUAGAAGAAGAGCGGCGCUGCGAGAGGCGGCGCCAACAAAGAGGGCCAGAGGAAAAUGUAGCACCUGUUAUUUUCACCGGGAGACAAGGCAAAGCCAGCUUUCUCCUUGGUGAAGUGUGUGUGCAUGUGAGUUUCCAUGGUGUGUGUUCUUGUCUUCUUGAGAAUAGAAGAGAGAAACCUCAGGAGGGUUGUGCGAGGCAGCUCGAGGAAGAAGAAGGUCGGCGCUGCGAGAGGAGCGGCGCCAACAAGGCAUAG
rnacentral:rRNA from 1 species